CAAAUAUCUUAUUUACUGCUGGUCUCUUACGUGAACUCUUGAACAUUAAAAAUUAAUUUAAAUGGAGAGUACAUCAAGGCAUAGCCUUUGAAGACGUUAAAAUGUGCUUAGUUAAACCUCCUGCUUUGGGUAUGUACGAUUACCAACAUUCUACAGUUCUUCAAUGUGAUACCUCAAGGAAAAAUGGACUUGGUUACGUUCUCCUUCAAAAAGAAUGUAUUUCUUUAAAGUGUAGUACAAAGGUGGAACUUGAAGGCCUAGCAACCCUUUGGCUGGAUCAACAACUUGUUUUUCCUCCUACUGAAUUCAAGAAAAUACUCUAGAUCCUCAACUCCAGUCAUCAAGGUAUAGUCAAAACGAAACGUCGAGCCUUUUGGGAGGAUAUAGAAAUAAUAUAAGUCAAACAUUUUCAUCUUGUCCUGAAUCUGCAUCUUGGCCACCUUCCCAGCCUUUCCUUCAAGAUAAUACCGUUACAUAUCCCUUCAAAAAGAUAUCUACGUUAAAAGAACUGUUUAAUACACUUGUCUGAAUCACCGGGGCGCGAACGUACACAGAUCAAGUUCAAGAAAAUAACUCCCGAGCGUGCACUGGUUUUUUUGGGGAGUUCAUAGAAACAGCGGGGAUUGUUUCAUGGUUGAGGUUGAAGACCAAACUACUCUGUUGCCACU
rnacentral:lncRNA from 1 species